GAUGAACGCUGGCGGCGUGCUUGACACAUGCAAGUCGAACGGUGAAGCAGGAGCUUGCUCUUGUGGAUCAGUGGCGAACGGGUGAGUAACACGUGAGCAACCUGCCCCUGACUCUGGGAUAAGCGCUGGAAACGGCGUCUAAUACUGGAUAUGUGAUGUGACCGCAUGGUCUGCAUCUGGAAAGAAUUUCGGUUGGGGACGGGCUCGCGGCCUAUCAGCUUGUUGGUGAGGUAAUGGCUCACCAAGGCGUCGACGGGUAGCCGGCCUGAGAGGGUGACCGGCCACACUGGGACUGAGACACGGCCCAGACUCCUACGGGAGGCAGCAGUGGGGAAUAUUGCACAAUGGGCGGAAGCCUGAUGCAGCAACGCCGCGUGAGGGAUGACGGCCUUCGGGUUGUAAACCUCUUUUAGCAGGGAAGAAGCGAAAGUGACGGUACCUGCAGAAAAAGCACCGGCUAACUACGUGCCAGCCGCCGCAGUAA
rnacentral:rRNA from 1 species